rnacentral:rRNA from 1 species
UCCUGAUCCAGCCAUGCCGCGUGUGUGAAGAAGGUCUUCGGAUUGUAAAGCACUUUAAGUUGGGAGGAAGGGCAGUAAGUUAAUACCUUGCUGUUUUGACGUUACCAACAGAAUAAGCACCGGCUAACUUCGUGCCAGCAGCCGCGGUAAUACGAAGGGUGCAAGCGUUAAUCGGAAUUACUGGGCGUAAAGCGCGCGUAGGUGGUUCAGCAAGUUGGAUGUGAAAUCCCCGGGCUCAACCUGGGAACUGCAUCCAAAACUACUGAGCUANUAGUACGGUANAGGGUGGUGGAAUUUCCUGUGUAGCGGUGAAAUGCGUANAUAUAGGAAGGAACACCCGUGGCGAAGGC